rnacentral:rRNA from 1 species
UACGAAGGGUGCAAGCGUUAAUCGGAAUUACUGGGCGUAAAGCGUGCGUAGGCGGUUUCUUAAGUCUGCUGUGAAAGCCCCGGGCUCAACCUGGGAAUGGCGGUGGAUACUGAGGAGCUGGAGUACGGUAGAGGAAGGUGGAAUUCCCGGUGUAGCGGUGAAAUGCGUAGAGAUCGGGAGGAACAUCAGUGGCGAAGGCGGCCUUCUGGACCAGUACUGACACUGAGGCACGAAAGCGUGGGGAGCAAACAGG